AUUUUUAUAGUCUAUUUAGGAUAUUGAAUUGCAAAUUCAAAGGAAAAUUCAAUUUUAAAAAUU
rnacentral:tRNA from 1 species